UCCGAUUUGUCACCGGCUUUACCCUGCAUGUCAAGCCCAGGUAAGGUUCUUCGCGUCGCAUCGAAUUAAGCCGCAUGCUCCGCCGCUUGUGCGGGCCCCCGUCAAUUCCUUUGAGUUUUAGCCUUGCGGCCGUAGUCCCCAGGCGGAGUACUUAUCGCGUUAGCUGCGGCACCGAGGGGGUCGAUACCCCCGACACCUAGUACUCAUCGUUUACAGCGUGGACUAC
rnacentral:misc_RNA from 1 species